GACGAACGCUGGCGGCGUGCUUAACACAUGCAAGUCGAGCGGUAAGGCCCUUUCGGGGGUACACGAGCGGCGAACGGGUGAGUAACACGUGGGUGACCUGCCCUCAGCUCUGGGAUAAGCCUGGGAAACCGGGUCUAAUACCGGAUAUGACUCCAUGACGCAUGUUGUGGGGUGGAAAGCCUUGUGCGGCUGAGGAUGGGCCCGCGACCUAUCAGCUUGUUGGUGGGGUGANGGCCUACCAAGGCGACGACGGGUAGCCGGCCUGAGAGGGCGACCGGCCACACUGGGACUGAGACACGGCCCAGACUCCUACGGGAGGCAGCAGUGGGGAAUCUUGCGCAAUGGGCGAAAGCCUGACGCAGCGACGCCGCGUGAGGGAUGACGGCCUGG
rnacentral:rRNA from 1 species